rnacentral:misc_RNA from 1 species
GGAGUAAAAGUCGUAACAAGGUCUCCGUUGGUGAACCAGCGGAGGGAUCAUUACAGGACUCGCAAGACUCCUACAACCCUGUGAACUUAACUAUAAGCACGUCGCUUCGGCGGGUGUCUCGGAGGGGGUUCUCCCUCCCCGAGACGCUAAACCCGCCGGCAGCCUACUAUACUCUGUCUCUUUGCGUUGGCAUCUCGAGUACAAUCAAACAAGUUAAAACUUUCAACAACGGAUCUCUUGGUUCUG